ACUCCACAUGAUUUAAAGCCUAUGUGAUUUAAGACCUUUUGAUUUCUUACUGAUUCUAGAGUGGUCUGGCAGAUAGUCAAGUCUCCAAUUAAAUUUCAAGCAAUUUGUAUUCUUCUGGCCUAUACCUCUUCACAUCUGUCCUACAGAACAUAGAAAAUCACUAAAGGGGGACCAAAGGAUCGAGGUUUCAUCAUUUCAGGACUUAAGCCCAUUGUUAGCAAUUGGCUUUUUCUAGAGAAUGGAUACAUUUGUAUCUAUCUAAGGUGAAGUUCAUGUUUAGUUCUGGUCACUGUCAGAGAUGAGCAUGCUGUAGAAUUUGGGACAUGAUCCAUUGUAACACUUCAGAUAGUCCUGAAGUAGCUGAAGAAUGUUGCAUGAAACUGUUGCCAAGAAAGUCACAGAUAUGUUUGGGCUACAAGAUUUCUAUCAGGAAGAAAAAUAUCCACAGAUUAUAA
rnacentral:lncRNA from 1 species